AGUGAACGCUGGCGGCAUGCCUAAUACAUGCAAGUCGAGCGACCAGACGGUGAGCUUGCGCCUCUAACGUUGGCGACUGACGGGUGAGUGAGACGUGGAUAGCCUUCCUAUUAUACUGGGGUAAUUUCGUGAAGCCGGUGCUGCUACCACCUAAUAUGUUGUACCGCUGAGUUCAAUAGUUCAAGACGCCUUUCGUGUCUCUUUUAGCUGGAUCCGCGCCGCAUUAGUUAGUUGGUAAGGUAACGGCUUACCAAGGCGACGAUGCGUAGCCGACCUGAGAGGGUGAUCGGCCACACUGGAACUGAGACACGGUCCAGACUCCUACGGGAGGCAGCAGUAGGGAAUCUUCCGCAAUGGGCGAAAGCCUGACGGAGCAACGCCGCGUGAGUGAUGAAGGUCUUCGGAUCGUAAAACCCUGUUAUUAGGGAAGAAAAAAUGUGUAAGUAAAUACGCCUGUCUUGACGGUACCUAAUGAGAAAGCCCCGGCUAACUACGUG
rnacentral:rRNA from 1 species